GGGUGGGUCGCAUAGUGGCCUAGUGCAGUGGUUUGCUAAACCGCCGUAGGAGCAAUCCUACCGAGAGUUCGAAUCUCUCCCCGCCCGCCA
rnacentral:tRNA from 1 species